rnacentral:rRNA from 1 species
UGGGGAAUAUUGCACAAUGGGCGCAAGCCUGAUGCAGCCAUGCCGCGUGUAUGAAGAAGGCCUUCGGGUUGUAAAGUACUUUCAGUCGGGAGGAAGGUGGUAAGGUUAAUAACCUUAUCAAUUGACGUUACCGACAGAAGAAGCACCGGCUAACUCCGUGCCAGCAGCCGCGGUAAUACGGAGGGUGCAAGCGUUAAUCGGAAUUACUGGGCGUAAAGCGCACGCAGGCGGUUGAUUGAGUCAGAUGUGAAAUCCCCGGGCUUAACCCGGGAAUUGCAUCUGAUACUGGUCAGCUAGAGUCUUGUAGAGGGGGGUAGAAUUCCAUGUGUAGCGGUGAAAUGCGUAGAGAUGUGGAGGAAUACCGGUGGCGAAGGCGGCCCCCUGGACAAAGACUGACGCUCAGGUGCGAAAGCGGGGGGAGCAAACAGG